rnacentral:rRNA from 1 species
GAUGAACGCUGGCGGCGUGCUUAACACAUGCAAGUCGAACGGUGAAGCGCCUUCCUUUUUGGUGGGUGUGGAUGAGUGGCGAACGGGUGAGUAACACGUGAGUAACCUGCCCCCUUCUUCUGGAUAACCGCAUGAAAGUGUGGCUAAUACGGGAUAUUCUGGGUCUGUCGCAUGAUGGGUCUGGGAAAGAUAUUGUUUCGGUGGGGGAUGGGCUCGCGGCCUAUCAGCUUGUUGGUGGGGUGAUGGCCUACCAAGGCGGUGACGGGUAGCCGGCCCGAGAGGGUGGACGGUCACACUGGGACUGAGACACGGCCCAGACUCCUACGGGAGGCAGCAGUGGGGAAUAUUGCACAAUGGGCGCAAGCCUGAUGCAGCGACGCCGCGUGAGGGAUGGAGGCCUUCGGGUUGUGAACCUCUUUCGCCAGUGAAGCAGGCCUGCCUCGUUUGUGGGUGGGUUGACGGUAGCUGGAUAAGAAGCGCCGGCUAACUACGU